AGAAUUUGCCUUAUUUGUGAAACACGGCGCGGCAUUCGUAUUUGUUAAUGCCACAGUAUGCGCGAAUCAAAAAUGUUGACUAAGGGACGGACCAUUUGAUUUUUGAUGGGGGGGGGUGGGUAGAAUCCCCAAAAAAAUAUCGGGCAAGCAAUUUGAACUUAAAAAAAAUAUCAUGCAAGAAUAAAUGGACGAAAAAAUAUAUCGAGCAAGACUUUCGAGUGGUAAUCCUUAUUUGCCAUUCGGUGCAUUUCCGUGUGUAGCCCAGGGACGUAUGUAGCAACCGGGGGGGGCUGCAGGGUCCAGGAAAUGGCAUUUCAGAGACUCUAAAUUUAAAAAUUUCCUCGGGCCUUCGGCCCUCGCUUUCAGCCCCCCAAUAAAAAAGAGCUUCCUACGGCCCUGUAGCCUAAAUUGAUGGGAGGACCAGUAUAAUUCCAAAAAUGGUUGUUCUUUAUUUUUUUACUCCGACUCCUAUGAUGAACAUGUACAUAAAAAACUAGGAAAACUACGAUCAAAUCACGGCCGUAGAAACUAAAAUAGGUGAAAUUUUUAUGGGACACGAUCAAAGGCGAGGAUAUAAGAGCGAGAGGUUGAAAUUGAGUAGGAAUAGCGUACAAGGGCAUGCGUUUCGACCUAACAGUUU